AGCGAACGCUGGCGGCAGGCUUAACACGUGCAAGUCGAGCGGGCAUCCUUGUGGUGUCCGCGGCAGACGGGUGAGUAACGCGUGGGAACGUGCCCUUCGGUUCGGAAUAACUCAGGGAAACUUGAGCUAAUACCGGAUACGUGCGAGAGCAGAAAGGUUUAUCUGCCGAAGGAUCGGCCCGCGUCUGAUUAGCUAGUUGGUGAGGUUAUGGCUCACCAAGGCGACGAUCAGUAGCUGGUCUGAGAGGAUGAUCAGCCACACUGGGACUGAGACACGGCCCAGACUCCUACGGGAGGCAGCAGUGGGGAAUAUUGGACAAUGGGGGCAACCCUGAUCCAGCCAUGCCGCGUGAGUGAUGACGGCCUUAGGGUUGUAAAGCUCUUUUCUUCGGGACGAUAAUGACGGUACCGGAGGAAUAAGCCCCGGCUAACUUCGUG
rnacentral:rRNA from 1 species